AAAUGACGCGGCUAAGUAUGUAGAACUGUCUGUGGCGCACUUAUGGACGCGGGUUCAAUUCCCGCCGCCUCCACCA
rnacentral:tmRNA from 1 species